rnacentral:rRNA from 1 species
UACGAAGGGGGCUAGCGUUGUUCGGAUUUACUGGGCGUAAAGCGCGUGUAGGCGGGCCGUUAAGAUGGGGGUGAAAGCCCGGAGCUCAACUCCGGAAUUGCCUUCAUGACUGGCGGCCUGGACUCAAGGAGAGGCAAGUGGAAUUGCGAGUGUAGAGGUGAAAUUCGUAGAUAUUCGCAGGAACACCAGUGGCGAAGGCGACUUGCUGGACUUGUAGUGACGCUGAGACGCGAAAGCGUGGGGAGCAAACAGG